CCACGCAAAGGCCAGCAGUUACUACAGGAGGAGCGCUGGGGAUGUGACAGACCUGAGACAGGGGGAUGUGUCCCAGCUGGCUGCGCUUGGCACGACUCAGAAAACUGAGCUGAUGUCUCCUUUCCCGCACCCAAACCUCACCGCUUGCAGGUUUCUAGUGGGUUUUUUGACAUUCCCUGCUGGCAGAGGGGGAUGGAGAGAGGAGACUGAGCCUGAGCACCUUCAUCAACAGAGAAAUCUCCAUCAAACAUCACAAGGGACACAAGCAGGAUGUUGACACCUCAUGACUUGUACCCAUGGAUGAAGGGGAUGGUGAGCACUAAGAAAAUGCAAAUGCAGCUGAGGAUUAGCAAAAGGAAUUAUGAAAAACAAGUAGUGGAAAUAAUGAUUCAUCAAGAAUUGAAUCUGAUGUUGAGCCCAGUCCUGCACUCAGUGGGCAGCUCAGGACCCUGGAAAACACAUCCUUCUCACCCCAUGGAUACUCCUCUCCCCACUAAAACUUUGAGUCAAAAAGAAACACUGCAUAACACUGAAGCCAGAUAGGAAGAUCUGUGUGAAAGUUUGCAUCAAGCCAGAGGCCAGACUGAGUGAAUGGUUCAGUAUCUCUGAACCAAAAUACCAUAAAUAUA